AUACGUAGGGUGCGAGCGUUGUCCGGAAUUACUGGGCGUAAAGAGCUCGUAGGUGGUUUGUCGCGUCGUCUGUGAAAUUCCGGGGCUUAACUCCGGGCGUGCAGGCGAUACGGGCAUAACUUGAGUACUGUAGGGGAGACUGGAAUUCCUGGUGUAGCGGUGAAAUGCGCAGAUAUCAGGAGGAACACCGGUGGCGAAGGCGGGUCUCUGGGCAGUAACUGACGCUGAGGAGCGAAAGCGUGGGUAGCGAACAGGAUUAGAUACCCUGGUAGUCCAUGCUGUAAACGGUGGGCGCUAGGUGUAGGGGUCUUCCACGACUUCUGUGCCGUAGCUAACGCAUUAAGCGCCCCGCCUGGGGAGUACGGCCGCAAGGCUAAAACUCAAAGGAAUUGACGGGG
rnacentral:rRNA from 1 species